UACGUAGGGUGCGAGCGUUGCCCGGAUUAUUGGGCGAAAGGGCGCGUAGGCGGCUCUGCACGUCCGUUGUGAAAUCGGCCCGGCUCAACUGGGCGGGGUCAGCGGAUACGGGCGGAGCUUGAGCAAGCUAGGGGGCAAGUGGAAUUCCCGGUGUAGUGGUGGAAUGCGUAGAUAGUCGGGAGGAACACCAGUGGCGAAGGCGAGU
rnacentral:rRNA from 1 species